CAAUAGCGUAUAUUAAAGUUGUUGCAGUUAAGAAGCUCGUAGUUGGAUUUCUGGUUGAAGCGACCGGCCGGGCGUUGAUUCGUCUGCACUGGAGUCGGUUUUGGCCAUCCUCUAGGAAAGUGCGUCUGGUAUUAAGUUAUCGGGCGUAUGAUCCUGGUCUUUUACUGUGAAAAAAUUAGAGUGUUUAAAGCAGGCCUUCGCCUUGAAUACAUUAGCAUGGAAUAAUAAGAUAGGACUUUGGUCUAUUUUGUUGGUUUGCAGACCGAAGUAAUGAUUAAUAGGGAUAGUUGGGGGUAUUUAUAUUCCGAUGUCAGAGGUGAAAUUCUUAGAUUUUCGGAAGAUAAACUUAUGCGAAAGCAUUUACCAAGGAUGUUUUCAUUAA
rnacentral:rRNA from 1 species